rnacentral:rRNA from 1 species
UCCGUAGGCGGGCGACUAAGUCAGAGGUGAAAUCCCACAGCUUAACUGUGGAACUGCCUUUGAUACUGGUUGUCUUGAGUUAUAGUGAAGUAGAUAGAAUAUGUAGUGUAGCGGUGAAAUGCUUAGAUAUUACAUAGAAUACCGAUUGCGAAGGCAGUCUACUAACUAUAUACUGACGCUAAUGGACGAAAGCGUGGGGAGCGAACAGGAUUAGAUACCCUGUAGUCC